ACAACACCCAACCAACGCCACACACGUAUCGGCACCGCCUUCGGGGUGCUGCGGCACGCCCACCAACAAAAUCGGGCAAGUCGCGGUCGAAGCCGGGGAUGCGUGGAGGUCCCAAC
rnacentral:sRNA from 1 species